ensembl:lncRNA
GUCGUGGCCAAAAGUUCUUCACAAGGUUAACAUGACAAAAAGAGAGGAGGAGGGUUAUAGUAGGUUGUACUGCUUUCCACUAUUUCUGUAAUGUUGGUUAAAUUAAUUAGUCUGUGCAAAAAAAUCAGCAGUGAGGUGCUAAAGGCUGGAAAAUAAAUAUUCACAAGUUAGCUAGAUUUCCCUGCUUUUCAAAUGGAAGGGAGUGGGACUCCUGUCUUCCCAGAUGGCAGAGAGAUUUCCCGCAUGACUCCACAUGCCGAAGUGUCCUUGGGCAAGACACUGAACCCAAAGUUGCUCCCAAUGGCUCGCUGUCGUAACGUCUUAAUAGAUGUAUGCACCCAUCACCAGUGGCUGCGGAGCAUUAGAAUGGAGACUCGGCGAUGCACCAUCUAUCAUAUGAACCCACUUUGUCCUGUGUCGCUUCAUACAGUAUCUGAUACCUUUGGGUUUGGCUUUUUAUACAUAUACUGUACUGUAUAUCCAUUUUUCCUUUGUAUUAUCGUGUGGUUUAUAAAGUAGAGCUUGUCAGAAUAGAGUGUAUAGCCUUUCGCAUUUGAAAUGAAAUUGUUACCAUUGUGUAAAUGUGUGCAUGUGUGCUUAUGAAGGGUGUGUUUGUCU